rnacentral:rRNA from 1 species
AGAGUUUGAUCAUGGCUSAGAUUGAACGCUGGCGGCGUGCCUUACACAUGCAAGUCGAACGUGAAAGUUCCUUCGGGAAUGAGUAAAGUGGCGCACGGGUGAGUAACGCGUGGAUAAUCUACCGGGAAGUUGGGAAUAACGGCUGGAAACGGUCGCUAAUACCGAAUACGCUGCAUAUUUAUCUAUGUAGGAAAGGGGGCCUCUGCAUAUGCUUCCGCUUUUCGAUGAGUCCGCGUACCAUUAGCUAGUUGGUGGGGUAAAGGCCUACCAAGGCGACGAUGGUUAACUGGUCUGAGAGGAUGAUCAGUCACACUGGAACUGGAACACGGUCCAGACUCCUACGGGAGGCAGCAGUGGGGAAUAUUGCGCAAUGGGCGAAAGCCUGACGCAGCGACGCCGCGUGAGGGAUGAAGGUCUUCGGAUCGUAAACCUCUGUCAGUAGGGAAGAACGGUCAGCGUGCUAAUCAGCGCUGAAUUGACGGUACCUACAAAGGAAGCACCGGCUAACUCCGUGCCAGCAGCCGCGGUAAUACGGAGGGUGCGAGCGUUAAUCGGAAUUACUGGGCGUAAAGCGCUCGUAGGCGGUAUGUCAAGUCAAGGGUGAAAUCCCCGCGCUCAACGUGGGAACUGCCUUUGAAACUGGCAAACUAGAGUGUGUGAGAGGAUAGUGGAAUUCCAAGUGUAGGAGUGAAAUCCGUAGAUAUUUGGAGGAACAUCAGUGGCGAAGGCGACUAUCUGGCACAUAACUGACGCUGAGGAGCGAAAGCGUGGGUAGCAAACAGGAUUAGAUACCCUGGUAGU